UUGGUUUCAUAAGUAGAAAACUUAAUUUGGCUUCCUUGAUAUGGCUGAUAAACUCAUUUCAGCAUAAAAUGGGAGUAGAAUUCCAAUUUGCAGUUUAUUUAGGGAUACCAAAUUUGUUUUCAAAGCAGAAAAUCUUGGUUGGAAAAUAUUGUCAAUUGCAGUGCCUUCUGCUAUGGCUUUGACAACUGAUCCUAUUGCUUCACUGGUUGACACAACAUUCAUUGGCCGAAUAGAUAUUUAGAGCACUUGGUUAUCUUCACAACAGCAUUGGAGUUUGUCACAGGGACAUAGAACCUCAAAAUUACUGGUCAGUCUUCACAUCCACCAGCUGAAGAUAUGUGACUUUGGAAGUGCUAAAAUUUUG